UGCAUCGGCCGGGAAUCGAACCCGGGCUGCCCGCGUGGCAGGCAAGCAUUCUACCACUGAACCACCGAUGG
rnacentral:tRNA from 1 species